rfam:Absidia repens strain NRRL 1336 BCR42scaffold_2, whole genome shotgun sequence.
UCUUAGAUAGUAUAGUGGUUAGUAUCCCGCCUGUCACGCGGGAGACCGGGGUUCAAUUCCCCGUCUGAGAG